rnacentral:lncRNA from 1 species
UAUAUAUAUGGUCGAAAGAGCAGGCUAAUUUAUUAAAAGCAAAAAACCGAUUACACUUUGCGCAAAAAGACUCUACCUGCAGAGUCUUCAAAAAGUGUCCUAACGAAGUCUAUAGGAAGGUCACUGGUAGGAUAAAAAACCAGUUUACUUCUUGAAUUAAGCGCAUAACUUGUUAAAUAAUCAGCGGUCCUAUUGGCUUCAUAAUAUAUUUUAACAAAAAUACACUGCAUAGGGAUUCAUUAAUAUUUAUGUCUCCCACAU